UAAAAAUCGACUAAAUUUACUUUGACAGAGUCAUGCUGCAAUGACCGAAGGUUAUUCAGUGUUAUUUUUUACGUAAAUUUGCUCAUUUAUCUGGAGUGAAUAGCAACAUGAAUGUGGUUGGAUCUAUUUUAUUUGGUGGUUGUAUGCGGAGAACUUCAUUACUGAAUCUAACACGGCACAGCAGCAGCAGCCUCCUGAAAUUGAAAAAACUCCAGGCUGAUUUCCAGAUGGAAGAUGGAAAGCCAAUUUGGCUGAAACGUGGAAUGUGUGACAGAAUUCUCUACACUUCAACGAUUGUUAGUUCCUUGCUUGGCAUUGUAAUGGUGAUCUCGUGUCUUUACGACAAUGCUAAGCCUGAAUCAUGGAAAGUCAAACAUGAUUAACCUACCUACCCAAUUAUUUUGAAAGUGUCAUUGAAAAUAUAGUUGGAAAUAAAUACUUGCGAUACAAAAUUAGAUUGUCAAUGUAUUUUCAUAUGUUAGAACAAUAAAUACCUACCUAUAUAGUAUCUACUAAA